UACGUAGGGUGCAAGCGUUAAUCGGAAUUACUGGGCGUAAGCGUGCGCAGGCGGUUGUGCAAGACAGAUGUGAAAUCCCCGGGCUCAACCUGGGAACUGCAUUUGUGACUGCACGGCUGGAGUGCGGCAGAGGGGGGUAGAAUUCCACGUGUAGCAGUGAAAUGCGUAGAUAUGUGGAGGAAUACCGAUGGCGAAGGCAGCCCCCUGGGAUAACACUGACGCUCAUGCACGAAAGGCGUGGGGAGCAA
rnacentral:rRNA from 1 species